ensembl:snRNA U7 U7 small nuclear RNA
CAGUGUUACAGCUCAUUUAGAAUUUGCCUAGCAUGUUUUCCAGUCUUUGCUAGAAAACACUC